AGAUUAAGUUAUUAAGGGCGCACGGUGGAUGCCUUGGCACUAGAAGCCGAUGAAGGACGUUACUAACGACGAUAUGCUUUGGGGAGCUGUAAGUAAGCUUUGAUCCAGAGAUUUCCGAAUGGGGAAACCCAGCAUGAGUUAUGUCAUGUUAUCGAUAUGUGAAUACAUAGCAUAUCAGAAGGCACACCCGGAGAACUGAAACAUCUUAGUACCCGGAGGAAGAGAAAGAAAAUUCGAUUCCCUUAGUAGCGGCGAGCGAAACGGGAAGAGCCCAAACCAACAAGCUUGCUUGUUGGGGUUGUAGGACACUCUAUACGGAGUUACAAAGGACGACAUUAGACGAAUCAUCUGGAAAGAUGAAUCAAAGAAGGUAAUAAUCCUGUAGUCGAAAAUGUUGUCUCUCUUGAGUGGAUCCUGAGUACGACGGAGCACGUGAAAUUCCGUCGGAAUCUGGGAGGACCAUCUCCUAAGGCUAAAUACUCUCUAGUGACCGAUAGUGAACCAGUACCGUGAGGGAAAGGUGAAAAGCACCCCGGAAGGAGAGUGAAAUAGAACCUGAAACCGUGUGCUUACAAGUAGUCAGAGCCCGUUAAUGGGUGAUGGCGUGCCUUUUGUAGA
rnacentral:rRNA from 1 species